rnacentral:lncRNA from 10 species
AUAGGGAAAGGGAGCAUUGGGUUAGGUUUCGCUCACUUCUGAUUGGGUGGGCUUCAGGGUUCACUGAACCUAGGAUGAGGUACAGAGAGAAUUCUAAUGCCUGAGCCUGUCUUCCAGAUUGGAAAAGGAUGCAAACCUUUAAAAUGCCGUGAUUGUAACUGAACUUUUAUAAAGGCAGUGAUAAUUCAGGGGCAAAAGAGUGCUAUUUAUAAGUUAGUUUGUGAAGGCUCCAAGAAAGCAAAGCUGAAUCUUGAGCUUAUCUAAAGGAUUAGUAGGGUUUAGGUGGAAGAGUGGCCAAUCCAGUAGACUGGCCUAGAUGCCACGGAGAUGGGAGAGAGUCUAGAUAUUUCCCACCAAGGCCAUCUCCAACCAUGAAGACUUAGCUCAGGUGUUACCCACUCUAAGAAGUAUUCCUAGUCACCUCUGCCCCUCUAGGUUGUCCCCCUCUGUGCCUCUUUAAACUCUUCUUUCUAGUAUCAUAGGUAUCAUAUCAGCAGACAUUACAACCUAUUGAACUUCCUUUGUGUAUAGGGACUUGAAAACCCUUGUUCCCAGGCCUUGGGGGAACAGGCUUACCAUAUGGUAGAUGAAUAAGCAUAAGAAUACAUGAAGAAGGAGACCUGUCCAGCUAGAGCAGAAAGACUAAUUGUAGGGAGCAUCUGGGGAAUGGGCUUGGUCAGUGUGCCCUGAAGCUGAGGGAAGGAGGCAGAACUGUAGGUUGGCUGCUCGGGAGGUACAAAAGUCAUAAUAAGGCCCCGGGCCAGGCGCAGUGGCUCACACCUGUAAUCCCAGCACUUUGGGAGGCCGAGACGGGCGGAUCAUCUGAGGUCAGGAGUUUGAGACCAGCCUGGCCAACAUGGCCAAACCUUGUCUCUACUAAAAAUAUAAAAAUCAGUGGGGUGUGGUGACAGGCACCUGUGGUCCCACUACUUGGGAGGCUAAGGCAGGAGAAUCACUUGAACACGGGAGGCGGAGGUUGCAGUGAGCCGAAAUGGCGUCACUACACUCGAGCCUGGGUGACAGAGUGAGACUCUGUCUCUAAAUAAAUAAGACCCUGAACACCCGGACCAUCAGGACAGUGACUGGUAAGGGAAAGGGACCUGUGGUUAUUUGUCAAUGAGAUAUGUAGGGGAGCAGUGGCACAAGAAUGUCAAAUUUGCAGGGAGCCACCACCCCAAGAAAAAAAUAUGAGUAAAUCCCAAGUUUGACAAAGCAAGUCAAGCAGGGUGGUCACUGAUAUUAUCAUGAGUCUCCAUUUUAUAAAAUGUUAGUUUUUAUUAGUGCAUCUAAAAUAGGAUUUAGGGCCAGGCGCGGUGGCUCACGCCUGUAAUCCCAACACUUUGGGAGGCUGAGGCGGGUAGAUGACUUGACGCCAGGAGUUUGAGACCAGCCUGAUCAACAUGGUGAAACCCCGUCUCUACUAAAAAUACAAAAAUUAGCCAGGCGUGGUGGUGCACACCUGUAAUCCCAGCUACUCGGGAGGCUGAGAUAAGAGAAUCGCUUGAGCCCGGGAGGCAGAGGUUACAGCGAGCCAAGAUCACGCCACUGCACUCCAGCCUAGGCGACAGAGCGAGAUUUAUUUUUUCUGUCUCAAAAAUAAAUAAAUAAAAUAGGAUUUAGAUAUCCAGAUGAUUUGUACACCACUUUUUAGCAGCGUACUAAAAAACCGGACUCUGAAUUCUGUUCCAGUAGUAAUGUGAAAUUUGCCCUGUUGUGAAUAAGCACAGUCUGAUAGUUGCAGUGGAACAUCCUGAGGGUAAAAUGAAGCCAGCUGCAGAUUUAACACUUCUUGUGGACUAUCCACCAAGCAAGAUUAACUUUUUCAAUUACCUAAGAACUGUGGUUCUACAAAGAUGAAUACCUUACAGCCUGAUGGGGCUUGGGGCUUAUGGGCAGGAAAACCAGGCGGGAGAUAUACCUCGACUCCUUUGGUUUGGUUAUACAGGUCAACAAGAACAAAAAAUGGCGGGAACUUGCAACCAACCUCAAUGUGGGCACAUCAAGCAGUGCUGCCAGCUCCUUGAAAAAGCAGUAUAUCCAGUGUCUCUAUGCCUUUGAAUGCAAGAUUGAACGGGGAGAAGACCCUCCCCCAGACAUCUUUGCAGCUGCUGAUUCCAAGAAGUCCCAGCCCAAGAUCCAGCCUCCCUCUCCUGGUAAGGAUGGGGUCAGCGGCCCCACCAAGGCUGAGAGGGCCUGUUGCCCUGGCCUCUUAUUCAGGAUAUGAAUAAGAGGCUUAUCCAACAGGAUAUGCCAAGGAUCUGUGCUCUGCCUUGCCCUACCACAGGGCUUAACAGGUUGGCUGACUAGAGAGUGGGCAGUGGAAACUCCCUUGGGAGGUACUCUACGGCAGCUCUUAAGUUUUAAUUUUUGUUGUGCAGCUGACAACUUGCCAAAUGUUUGUAAACUGGUGAAUGGGAGGGGCACAAGAGGAGUCGGUGGAACUUAUAAAUGGCAGCAAGGCAGGGCCAUCUGGGAGCUUUGGCCUAUUGAUGUCAGCACCUUAGAAUGCAGCUCAGACUAGAGCCCUGAAUUCCCCAGGGAGCUGAGAUGGUAAUGAAUGGGAAGGAGGGAGUGGGGAAGGGUUAUGAAUGGAACUCCCUGAUGGGAGUGGCUCUGCUCACCCUCCUUUCUGAGAGGAGGCUGAGGCCUAGGGUGAGCCUAGAGAGGGAAGAAGGCCAGGGUGCCUGGAAGGUGGGUGUAAACACAUGUGCCCUGGUGUUGACCUCUGAGGGUGUAAUGAGUGCCUGAGAUGACUCAUCAGCUGGGGAGGCCUCAGCAGUGGGAUAUCUACUGCUGGGAAUGGUAACUAUUGGAAACAUUAAUUACUAGUAGUUUUGUACUCAUCAGCUUAGAAGAACAUUUGAAGUUGAGGAGUGACACCAUGCUGGAUGCUUUAGAACAGGAGCUCCUAGACUCCUAAAAUGCAUCCCAGAUUUGGGACCCCCUUCCCACCCAGGACUUGGGAGGCUCUGACUGGAGCUCAUGCACCAGCAUUACAGGGUUUAGUAGGUUAGACAAGGUCCUUUGGCGGAGUGAAGAGAAAUAGCCAGGGAAGCUGGCAAUGACUCAGGGAAUCACCAGCAUGGUGAUGUCAUGGCCACAUCACUCCUCUUUUCUACACGUAAAACAAAAACAAAGAGCUACAAAACCCUCAGAUUCCCGUCUUUAUGACCUGGCCUUGUAGAUCCUCUGCUAAGAAGGGUGAUCAGGCUUUAAAGGCCUUAGGAAGAACUUUCCCAAAGAGAUUCUGGGUCGUUCGUGUGUUUGUGUGAGAGUUAAACACUGUCAUGCCAAGCAAACUACUCAACUUGUAUCUCUGUCCACAGCGGGAUCAGGAUCUAUGCAGGGGCCCCAGACUCCCCAGUCAACCAGCAGUUCCAUGGCAGAAGGAGGAGACUUAAAGCCACCAACUCCAGCAUCCACACCACACAGUCAGAUCCCCCCAUUGCC